rnacentral:rRNA from 1 species
GACGAACGCUGGCGGCGUGCCUAAUACAUGCAAGUCGAGCGCAGAAGGGUGGUACUUGUACCUACUGGAUUAGCGGCGGACGGGUGAGUAACGCGUGGGGAAUCUGCCUUUGAGCCGGGGACAACUUUUGGAAACGAAUGCUAAUACCGCAUAAAAACUUUAAACACAAGGUUCAAGAUUGAAAGACGCUAUUGCAUCCCUCUAUAGUUAUCCCGCGUUGUAUUAGCUAGGUUGUUAGGUAAAGGCCUUACAAGGGCAAGAUACAUAGCCCACCCGAGGGGGUUGACGGCCACAUCGGGAAUGGGACCAGGGCCAAACCUCUUCGGGAGGCAGCAGUAGGGAAUCCUCGGCAAUGGGCGAAAGUCUGACCGAGCAACGCCGCGGGAGUGAAGAAGGUUUUCGGAUCGUAAAAACCUGUUGGUAGAGAAGAAAGUUAGGGAGAGUGGAAAGCGCAUCAAGUGACGGUAACUACUCAGAAAGGGACGGCUAACUACGUG